rnacentral:lncRNA from 1 species
CUGGAACUUCAAAGUUAAAUUGGUCAAAUUUGAGUUUUUUCCUUUAUAAUUUGGGAUGGAAGGAGUAUAUAUAUAUACGCCAAUAAAAGUGGAAUUCAGUUGAUGGAUGUGACAUUGAAUUUGAUCUAGCCUAAAAGUUCAGUUCGAACAAGAUAAAAAAUGAAAAACACAAAACCACCAUAUAUGAAUCACAUCCUAUAAUUG